rnacentral:lncRNA from 1 species
UAACAACUAGAUAGAUACAUGCCUUCAUUUGUGUCAUCCACUUCUCAAAGCAUUUCAACCAGGAGUUGUGUCCACAUGGAGUCUGCAAGANAUAUAUAUUCUAAUCUAAUUGUCAUAUAACAAAAUGUAUCAAUUAAUCCAGAAUAUGUAUGACAUUACUUCUUAUUCUUUUGAAUAAUAAUUAACAGAUCAUGAAUGGAGAAUCCUUAGCUACAUGAGAUCACAAUCUCAGUUAAUAAACAGGAUCGAGUUUAUAAUCUUCAUCAUCAUCUGUACCACUUUAAUUUGAAGCAACAACAUAAAUUUGGAAAAUUUAUAACUUCUCAAAACGUUGAUCUCAAACUGUUUUCACCAUGAACAUUAGUCAUGGCAACAACUAUCACGUCAUCAUUUUUGGUCAGAAGAUUACUGAUAUAUGAAGUCUCACUUUCCUAAUGAGACACAAUGAUCGCCAUUUGUACAAAUUUAGGCUUGUUCAAACUUUCAAAUCCAUCUACAAAAUUGUCCUUAAAAAAAAUCAGAAAAGAAAAAAACACAAUAACACCAGUACGUUUCUAUCGUCUAUCAAUAUAAUGCAGCAGUCAAUAAUUUCAAACUUAAAUCAUCUAUGAUGUACAAAAUAGCAAUCGAUAAAUGCAAAUUCCGAACUCAAAGAAUGAAAUAAGGGUUCUUCAUCGCUCAAAAAAAAAUACAGAGAAUUAUACCUUUAGUUGCUGGAAUAAGGAUCAGUAAGGAGUAGCAUCAUCUUCAAAUCGAUGACUCUUCGGUAGAAACGAGAAAAUCGCUAGAAAAUAUGGCAAAUCGGCUAACGAAACUUGAUAUUCUAGAUAAAUACAUUUGAAGAAGCGUCCCACAUCGGAUUUGUGAUAAAAUAAAAAGGGAUUUAUUAACUAAACUGGAAGACAAUAUGACGUGUUCGUAAGAAGGAGAGAUGGUUGGCAUCUCCCCUGACAGGGACGGGAACAGCCUUCGGGCUUACCUGUUACCACACAUCCGGUUAAGGCUACCCACUUCGGUGGAUCUAUAACCCAAUUUUUUUUUCCCCCAAUUCUACUUUACUAAAUAAUCUUUUUGCUUUUAUAUACAACUCUUCUUUUUAACUUUACCUUUAUAUAACCGGUUUUUUAUUUCUUCUUUUGAACUUUACUAGUAACUAAAUUAAUUUUGUUUGGUUCUGAUGUAACCAGUAGAAUAUAAUAUUUGCU